CUAACACAGAGAUUCAGAACACAGGCAUCAUAUUCUAGAGAUGUCAAGUAGGAACAUUUGAAAAGAAGCCAAUAUACUUAAUAUUUAAGAGAAAGAAUAUCAUCUGAAACCUGAUUUAUAAAUCUCCAGUGUGAUAAUUAAACAGUGUCCAGUAGGAUGAAGACAAAGUAAGAAUGUUGCAGAACAGAAGAGCAGAGUCAAGAGGUAUAGAAAAAAAUACACUGGGACGUCUCUCUGAAGAAACAGAAUCAGAGCUUAAUCAAAGAAACUUUCCUAACUUGAAGAUAACCAAAAAGAACCUGACAAGGUGAAUCAUGAAUCACUAAUGGUGUAAUUACAAAAGAGCAGUGUCACUGGCUACUCCAAACACUGCUUAUUCAGGAAGCCAAGAGGCCAUGCAGCAAUGGAAGAAGUUGAAGCUGAAUCUAAGAGUUUACCGUGAAAAAAUGAUGAGAUAAAGAAAAAGAAACACCAUUACUAACAGUGGAAAGAGCAUGAGAGCACAAGGGACAAAAACAGAAUUUUCAAUACUGCUCAAUCUUCAGAUCCUGGAGUGAUGCUGACACAUGAGAGACUUGAGUACACAGAAGCAGGGGGAGUGGCAGGCAGAAGGAGAGGGAGAAGCAUCCUGGGAUCAUGACCUGAGCCAAAGGCAGAUACUUAAUCGACUGAGCCAUGCAGAUGCCUCCUGAGUAAAGAUUUGAAGAAAAUUAUUAGAAGGAUAUUACAUGAGGGCAAAUACCACUACAAACAAAGAACAUAACUUUGAGAAUUUUUCAUUCUUGGGAAAUCCCAUCACCACCCUAGAAAUGGCCUUUGACUAUCAGAGUGGCCACUCAUCAGCACAUUAUUUCCUAGUCUAGACUUAUAAUCUGUGAUGUGAAGAGAGAAGGAGUACCACCAAGGGGAGCUUGCUCUCUGGACAGAAGUAUAGGAUCAGAAGCAAUGAAAAUACAGAAGGUCCUGUCUGAGCAUUAAAGUUCUUUCAUGGGGCUGA